ensembl:lincRNA
GGCCGGAGGCCGAGGGCAGCCGCAGCCUCCCGGGGCCCGCCGCGAGAGGGCCCAGGGACGCUCUUCUUGUGAAAGCCGCACGCAAGCCGCCGUGGGGGGCAGAGGACCCGCUGCCGGGGCGUCGCCGCCGGGCAGGAGAACAGACAGGCCCCUUCCUCGGCCCGCAGGCGCCAGGGAGCUGGGCAGCGUCCUCCGGCGGUGGGCGCCGUCCGCCCUCGGUGCUGAGCGCGGCUCCGCGCGCACAGGGUGCGUGCCCACACCCUCCGUGUACCCAGCGUCCUCCUGCAUCAGACGGAGCAGCUCCGCAGCGCCACCCGCGCUGGCAGGGCCCCCGGGGCUCGCGGAGGGCGCCGAGCACGCGCCAUGGUGCAGGGCGGAGCCCCGCCGCGGGGAGGAGCCGCGGGUCACGCUGCCCUGUCCCCACGGCGGGGUCACCGGGACCCCCGUCACAGCGGCGCAGAACUCACCCUGCAGUUCGGUUUUCCAUUCCACAAUGAGGGCGGAAGCCCCCGCGUGCUGUGGAACCGGGGCACACAGGCCACUGCAAGGCCGCGGGCUGCAGACACCCGGCGGGAAACCGUCCCCGCUGCGGGCCGCGCCCGGCUCCCUCUUCGCACAGCUGCACAGAGGGGCCGGCGUCAAGCCCGCGGUCCCAAGCAGCUGGCCCGGGCACGAGAGCGAGGCACCUUCCAGAGGCGGGGUUGGAAAAGAAUGUGUGUGCGUGUGAGUGCGCGUGUGCGCGCGUGCGUGUGUGUAACCACGUCCUUUCCCAGUGAGCCUCCCGCGCUUACCCACCCCCACCUGGCACAAGGAGGCCCCUGGGAAACUGCUGAACCACCAAGGCUCCCGAAGGGCCUGGAGACAGGCGUCGGUGGGCUGAGGGAGCACACACGGCAGUGCUCGCCGCCAGUACUUCCCAAGCCUGCAGCUCAGGGCACCUCUGAGGUCUGACAGCCAGCCCCUUCUCUGGCACACACCACCCAGCUCCCUUAAUUACAGCUGUGCCCUGACGCUGCACCGCAGAGGUUUCAUUCUCCUGUGACACAGGAAGGAGCUCAAAUUCUCUCGCCCCUUUAGAAAUCUCAAGCGACCAAAUGAAGUCCUCUUUUGGGAGGGCCUUUAGUGGCGGCCAUGGCUGCCUCAGUGUCCUGAAUGGAUGCAAAACACUGACUUUGCGUGGUCAUUCUGACUUUGGGGAAGAGCCAGAAGUCACACGGCGCCAGACUCAGCACGUAAGGCGGAGAACCCCACACCCUACUGUUGGCACAAGCCCGCCAUUCUGUUGGGGGGCCCUAAGCAGCAGCGUUCACCAUGGUUUUGAUAACACCCCUAACCACACUUAUGAAACUGGACUUCUAGAACUGCUUUGGAAAGUGAGAAAAAGGGAAGGGUAAAUGUGUCUGCAGUGAGGGGGAGUACUCUGGGGAGGACUAAUGGGAAUGUGUCUUUUACUACAUUAAAUAUUUUAAAAAUUUAAAUAUCCACCAUAUCUUUUGACUACCUCCUUUAACUUCCUUGUGUCCUGGGCAUCAGGGUGACCAGGAGGGUCUUGAACUUGUCAUCCUUUGGGAGCAAGGCCUCUCCUACUUUGUUUGUCUCCCUACCCCCAAAUAGGCUUCUUCCCCGGCAGAGUGAUUCUGCUUGGCUAGGGCAGACCGUACAAUCCUGAGUCAACACUGGAAAGUACUGUAAAGGAAGGGUCUCUCUGUAGUGCUGUCCUGGAAGUGGUCAUCUAGCUGUUCUGGAACACGUCCAGUGAGAUGAGCUCACUGUUUCUCCGGGGCUCAUUCGAUUUUUGACUGACAAACGCUUUUCUUUAUACGUUCGGAAACUUCCCCUGAAAUUUGGGUGAACUAGUCCUGCUGGCCCCCCGGAACCACACAGAACACGGCAGUCCCUCCGAGGGAGGCCUUGUCACAGCCACCCUCCCACCCCUGCUCCUGCCCCGCUCCUCACACUGCCCGGACAGGGGCAGCCUUGGGUAUCGAAAGGAACUUCAAGCGCUAACAAGACGCCUACGACAGGGACAUCACCUGAGCAUGUAUGUCUUCUGUGCCAGGCACAUGGAGUAAGUGUCCAACCCUCACCGCAACCCGGGAGGGAGACUACGUCCUCAAUCCCCAUUCACAGAUGAGGACACUGGAGUAGAGGUGAGGGGUAACUCGCCCACGGUCACAGAGCUCAGCUGCAAAGCCAGAACGCAGCUGAGCCAGAAGAACGUGCAGGGAGGCCGCCCGGAGCAGGGCGGAAAGCCAGGGCUUUCAGCGUCAGACCCACACACUCGGAGCUGCACGGUCUGGCACCUGGCACUCGGCACUCGGCAGCUCUGCUUUCUUACGUCUAGGGCAUAAAGCGGAAGGCUGCGGUAUGCUCCUAGUCUUUGUUCCUUUCAGGAGUUUCCCACUCUGUCUUCUCUUGGAGGCCCUGGCACAGUUCUAGGGGAUCACAACUUUGCCUCCAAACAGGGAGCGGAGUACGAUCUGAUUGCCUCCAGCUACACAAGUGAUGAGCAAAAAUACGAUACAGGGAGUAUCACCGCGUACACCUCUCUCCCCUGGAGGAAGCCAAGACCAGCACCCGUGCCGAGGUCAGAGGGCACACGCACAGAUGUCGGGACCGAGCCCCCCACCGCACACCCACGCAGGCCGUGGCUGUGCUCAGAUGUGGCCAGGGGGCCCUGCGGGGUGGUGUGCCUCUGUCCUCAGUGGUCCAGGUGGAGUUACAUCGCAUGAUUAUCCGCUAAGGAUCUGCCACCCCAGUUCAAUUCCUCAGCUCACGAGAACGAGCAAGGGACAGAACCCUUUCUGAAAAGCCCAGGUCCAGAACGCUGUCGUUCCCUUUGCAUUCUGUGGCUUAUUAUUUGGGCACCGUUUUCUAGGGGGUCAUGAAAUAAUUUAUAAGCAACAUUCAAGGGAUAAAGAAAGCUUGAACAUCUCAAGCCAGUGUUAAAAAAAAUUUUUUUUCAGAGCUGUUGGGGUUGGAACUCAGGGCCUUUCACACGCUGGAAAAGACAAGAACGUGAGUUCUGCUCCUGGCCCUGCAGAAAGGAGCCCGGCCCUGCAGCCUUUGGACCUCAGCCUGAUGAGCGCUUCGUGGACUUCUGACCUCCAGAACUGUCAGGCGACACAUUUGCGCGGUUAUUCCCCAGUGUGUGUUAGCUUAGGUCACGAAAU